AUUCCAGCUCCAAUAGCGUAUAUUAAAGUUGUUGCAGUUAAAAAGCUCGUAGUUGGAUUUCGGAAUGGGUCAGUUGGUCCGCCGCAAGGUGAGUUACUGACUGAUUUGUUCUUCUUCGCAAAGACUGCGUGUGCUCUUUACUGAGUGUACGUAGGAUUUACGACGUUUACUUUGAAAAAAUUAGAGUGUUCAAAGCAGGCUAUCGCUUGAAUACAUGAGCAUGGAAUAAUGGAAUAGGACUUUGGUUCUAUUUUGUUGGUUUCUAGGACCGAAGUAAUGAUUAAGAGGGACAAUUGGGGGCAUCCGUAUUUCGUUGUCAGAGGUGAAAUUCUUGGAUUUACGAAAGACGAACAACUGCGAAAGCACUUGCCAAGAGUGUUUUCAUUA
rnacentral:rRNA from 1 species